UACGGGAGGCAGCAGUGGGAAUAUUGCACAAUGGGCGCAAGCCUGAUGCAGCCAUGCCGCGUGUAUGAAGAAGGCCUUCGGGUUGUAAAGUACUUUCAGUCGUGAGGAAGGUGUUAAGGUUAAUAACCUUAGCAAUUGACGUUAGCGACAGAAGAAGCACCGGCUAACUCCGUGCCAGCAGCCGCGGUAAUACGGAGGGUGCGAGCGUUAAUCGGAAUUACUGGGCGUAAAGGGCACGCAGGCGGUUAAUUAAGUUGGAUGUGAAAUCCCCGGGCUUAACCUGGGAAUGGCAUUCAAGACUGGUUAGCUAGAGUCUUGUAGAGGGGGUAGAAUUCCAUGUGUAGCGGUGAAAUGCGUAGAGAUGUGGAGGAAAUACCGGUGGCGAAGGCGGCCCCUGGGCAAAGACUGACGCUCAUGUGCGAAAGCGUGGGGAGCAAACGAGGGAUUAGAUACC
rnacentral:rRNA from 1 species